GACGAACGCUGGCGGCGUGCUUAACACAUGCAAGUCGAACGGAAAGGCCCUGCUUGCAGGGUACUCGAGUGGCGAACGGGUGAGUAACACGUGGGUGAUCUGCCCUGCACUUCGGGAUAAGCCUGGGAAACUGGGUCUAAUACCGGAUAGGAGCCAUUUUUAGUGUGAUGGUUGGAAAGUUUUUUCGGUGUAGGAUGGGCUCGCGGCCUAUCAGCUUGUUGGUGGGGUAGUGGCCUACCAAGGCGGCGACGGGUAGCCGGCCUGAGAGGGUGGACGGCCACAUUGGGACUGAGAUACGGCCCAGACUCCUACGGGAGGCAGCAGUGGGGAAUAUUGCGCAAUGGGCGCAAGCCUGAUGCAGCGACGCCGCGUGGGGGAUGACGGCCUUCGGGUUGGAAAAGCCUUUCGCUAGGGACGAAGCUUUUUGUGACGGUACCUAGAUAAGAAGCACCGGCUAACUACGUG
rnacentral:rRNA from 1 species